rnacentral:rRNA from 1 species
UACGAAGGGUGCAAACGUUGCUCGGAAUUAUUGGGCGUAAAGAGCGUGUAGGCGGCCGUACAGGUCAGCUGUGAAAACUCGAGGCUCAACCUCGAGACGUCGGUUGAAACCGUACGGCUAGAGUCCGGAAGAGGAGAGUGGAAUUCCCGGUGUAGCGGUGAAAUGCGCAGAUAUCGGGAAGAACACCCGUGGCGAAGGCGGCUCUCUGGGACGGUACUGACGCUGAGACGCGAAAGCGUGGGGAGCGAACAGG